UACGGAGGAUGCAAGCGUUGUUCGGAAUCACUGGGCUUAAAGCGCGUGUAGGCGGAGUGUUAGGUGUCGUGUGAAAUCCCCGGUCUCAAUCCGGGAACUGCGCGGCAUACCGGCAUUCUUGAGGCAGGCAGAGGUGACUGGAACGACGGGUGGAGCGGUGAAAUGCGUAGAUAUCCGUUGGAACGCCGGCGACGAAGGUGAGUCACUGGGCCUGUCCUGACGCUGAGACGCGAAAGCGUGGGUAGCAAAC
rnacentral:rRNA from 1 species